ensembl:lncRNA
AGCAGGUUGUAACACUCAUCGGAAGAAGAGGACCAAAGCGCACCGUGCCUCAAGGCCCUCCAUACCUAAACCCCCUCUAGACCCAACGCGGACCCUCAGCCAGAGCUGGUGAUGUGUAGGACCUUCCUUUCAGAGAUGACCCUAAUGACCUCCACUACAAACCUGUUGCAAAGAGGAAGUCAGUUAAAUGCCUGUCCAAAUUAAUGGUAGAGCCUUAGAAAACAAGCCAACGUCCUACGAAGCAGAAAGAAGAGAAGAGAGAUAAAAGAAGAUGGAAUGCGAGAGAUCUAUUUGAAGACAGGAAAUUAGUUGGGAGAGGAGCCUCCUAGGAAACGAGAGGGAAUAUAUCUGUGGGUACUGUUCAUCGUGUGAUCCACACAGCAGAGAAGCCAAUCCAGUGAGUGUCCCUGACUCCCCUGAGCCAAAACAUCAGUUUAGCCCCAAAAUACCUUAAUACUCACAAUACAACGGCAAUGAUCUUGUAAUUCUAUUUCGAUGUCCGUGUUUCACUUGCAUUGCAUUUUUCUGGAUAUUGUAGCAAAAAAAGUUAAACAAUCGUGGUUUCAGCAAUAUUGUCAGUACUACAGUGUUUUAAGUACAAAUCGGUGCAUUAAAAAUGGAGCCCAAUACAUUUUUUAGAUUGAGAUUUACCUCAGAUUUUGCCAGUCCCAAACUUAACCAUGUCUUUGUCUCCCCCCUGUGGCAUGUGUGAGAUCUGCGGCUUCACCUGCCCCCAGAAGGCCUCUCUCAACUGACACAUGAAGAAGCACGACUCCGACGCCACCUCUCCUGCUCCAUCUGCGAUAAUAAAUUUGAGAAGGACAGCGUGAUGGCCCACAAGAGCUGAGGCUGAACCAUCUGAACUUAAUGAUCAGCUUGGGCUCACCGACCCAAAGGAGUCAAGACAGAGCUGGCUCCGGACAUAGCUAAGGUUGCCGCCUCCCUGGGCACAUGUUCAUUCAACACCUAGGCGCAUAUGCUGAUUUCUCAUAUAAAUGCACCCAUUCAUUCAGGUUCCAGACCAGUUAACUAGGCCCAAGACGUCAUAACGUAAGACCCCUAGACAUAACAAGUCCGGUCACAGGCCAGUUAGCUAGGCCUAAGACCCCUAGACAUAAUGAGUGCAACAAAAUCAGUAGGCUUGUUAUGGGUUUUGUAACAUAGGAGCAUGUCUGGCAUAAAUGUUAACACAUGUUAGCAUUAGUGGUUGUAGUCCAGAUGGUUGUGAACCGGUGUGGUUCAGUAGUGUGGUUGUGCAUUUGUUGAGAAGUUUUGUCGCAGGUCUUUGUGUCGAGCUAGCAUGCAAGGUGAGGUUAGCGGCAGGCUAAUGUUAAUCUGAUUUAAUCAGGCUGUAAUACGUCAUUAAUUGGUAUAUAAAAAAAAAUGAAACUGUCUGCAAAAUCUUGUAAAUGUUCCUUACAAGCCAGAACGCUAAACAAUUACAUUAAAUGUGUAGUUAGUGGUUAGUGUUGGACUAGUAACCAAAAGGUUCCAAGAUCAAAUCCCUGAGCUGACAAAGGAAAACACCUGUUGUUCUGCCCCUGAACAAGGCAGUUAACCCACUGUUCCUAGGCCUAGAAUUUGUUCUUAACUGACUUGCCAAGUAAAAUAAAGUAUACCGGUUGUCUGUGCGGUUUGUUCUUCAGCUGCUUGAAAUUUGAGACAAAAUAUCCACAGGAAUGUACUGUUUACCUGACUUUUUAGAGGGUAAGUGGCUGGUUCGGCACCGAAGUAAAAUUAGUUUUGUAUUGGAUAUUCGGUUUUCUUUUGUCAAUAACUAGGGGGGAAAAAAACAUCCUCAAGCCUAAUUUGUGUAGAUUUGUAAAAAAAUAUAUUAAAAAAUGAUACAGUUCGGAUUUCCAUAGAAAUAAAAAUAAAGAGGUGUGGAUAAUUCUUUGGUUAAAUCCCAUUAUCUGGUGUACGAUAAGCAGGCGAAC